rnacentral:rRNA from 1 species
UACGGGGGGGGUAAGCGUUGUUCGGAAUUACUGGGCGUAAAGCGUGCGCAGGCGGCUUCGCAAGUCAGGCGUGAAAUCCCCGGGCUUAACCUGGGAAUGGCGUCUGAAACUACGGAGCUGGAGUGUGGCAGAGGGAGGUAGAAUUCCACGUGUAGCGGUGAAAUGCGUAGAUAUGUGGAGGAAUACCGAUGGCGAAGGCAGCCUCCUGGGCCAACACUGACGCUCAUGCACGAACGCGUGGGGAGCAAACAGG